rnacentral:misc_RNA from 1 species
GGAAAGUCAAAGGGUAAGUAAUAUUAGGGGGCGUAGGGUUGAAUGCACACUUGGAUCUUUUAUUAUUAAAUUUAAGGAAUAUGGUGCACUAUUAUUAUACCCCUAUCAUUUGGGCUGUUUCACUUGGGGAUCAGUGGCUCCACUUAAUUACUUACAAGCCCUCCAUUUUCCUACUUCAUCUCAAUAACACCACAUCUAUGUAUC